GGCCCUCCUUGCUGUGCUGGGUCAAAGUCUCAAGUUCACUCUACUUAUGAAAAGGGUUCUUGUGCCUUCUGCCUCAACAUCGUACACUCAAUCCCACAGCGAAGCUUCCAGAGGCCCUACCCAGCCUUGUUCUCCUAUAAAUGGUGACCCUCGAUAGAGCUGAUUAAUGGGCCCCACAGCUGCAAGACAAAUAUAAACUAUACUUUGCCGGGGGAAAAAAAAAAAUCAGUCCUCUCUUUCAAGGCAGGCGAAAAGGCUCACUAGGCAAAGGCACUGGCAAUACAAACAUGGUGCUUGAGUUUCUGGAACCCAACAGAUUCCACAAAGUUGUUCUCUAACCUCCACAAACAUGCUGACCCUUCAAAACAUAGCCAUAAUAAACCGCCCCGUUCCCCGCACCUGCACAGUGGUUCCUUUGUCUAGUAGCUCUGGCUCACCCCUUCCUUCUCCACCUACAUUUCUCUUUCCUAGCCCUGGAGAUUCGGUUCAUGCAGUACCCAUCUAUGGCGGUUUAUUUCCCAGAGACUGAGCAUUUCCAGCCUCUUGAGUAGCCACAACACUGACCACACCCUCCAUGCUUUUCCACAUUCACACACACCUGGUGCUCCUCCAACACAGGAAGGAUGGCCUCCUCAACUUGUACUCCCAGCAGCCCAGCCAGUGUCUCUCUGGUCUCCUUCCUGAACCCCCAGCCUCUGCUUAUCAAGUUACCUGCAGUUGAUUCUCAGCCCUUAUGGGUUAUACUGUCCUUGGUUUACCCGGCCCCAUCACCCCAGCACUAUAAACUGUAAUUCUGGAAUCAAAGCUAACCUGCCUCUGCUUCAGCACCAAUUAACUCAUGCUAGCUCCACAUCGAGGUAAUGUUACAUGUUUGCACCAAGAACCCCAAGUCGGGAAUUAACAGUUUUGUGUACACCUCUAGUUAGCUCCAUAACCUUAGAUCUUGGGUUAAAAAGGAGAUGGGCCUGUCACCAUGCUUACUUCUCAAGAAAUUCCCAUAUAAUAUUUGGUAGAAAAAUAUUUUUUAUAAAGUGCAAAAGUACUAUACAUUUAGAAAGGACGUGGCAACCAAAUUUUACCAAAUUUAAAACGGUGACUAUAGGAUGUGUAUCAUUACCAACUUUAGAUAAAAACCUCUUCAACUAGGGCACAUCUGUGAUGAAAAGACAAUACAUUUCAGUGGUAUGGAAAAGGUGUAGUUUAGAACUUAAUUAAUAAAAAUAAGAACCUGCCAUACAAUUUCACCAUAUUUGGCAGUGGUGCAUAAUAGGUGUUCACCAACACAUGCCAAGCAAAUGAAACAACCCAUUAUCAUUUUCUUAAGCCAAAUUAUCACCUCUAUCCCUGUAACUGGGCAGCAAGAGGCUUCUCAAUGCCAAUCUCCCAAUCAUGUUCCUGCCUGCUCAAAACCCUCAAAAGUCAUAUGGCCUGGCAUUCCUAAAGCCUUUCGAAAUCAAGUCUCCCCUCCUACCUAUCACUGUCUGGAAAUGUCUACCCUCUCAGAGGAAUGCCCUCCUUGCCAGAAUGUCCCUCCACGAAGGGUGCUACUCAAUCCCAGCCAUAAUGAUCAAUUCAAGAACUGGCUCCACCUCCCACUGCCCAAACCCAACUCCAGGCCAGAGCUGCUUACAUCAAAUUUGGGUGGGUGGGGGUGUUCAGAAGAUUUAAGACAAGACACUGUCCAGGCCUCAGGACCCCUGGCAUGUCCCCCUACCCUUC
ensembl:lncRNA